ACCGAGUUUACAACUCCCAAACCCCUGUGAACAUACCAAUUGUUGCCUCGGCGGAUCAGCCCGCUCCCGGUAAAACGGGACGGCCCGCCAGAGGACCCCUAAACUCUGUUUCUAUAUGUAACUUCUGAGUAAAACCAUAAAUAAAUCAAAACUUUCAACAACGGAUCUCUUGGUUCUGGCAUCGAUGAAGAACGCAGCAAAAUGCGAUAAGUAAUGUGAAUUGCAGAAUUCAGUGAAUCAUCGAAUCUUUGAACGCACAUUGCGCCCGCCAGUAUUCUGGCGGGCAUGCCUGUUCGAGCGUCAUUUCAACCCUCAAGCCCAGCUUGGUGUUGGGACUCGCGAGUUAAACCGCGUUCCCCAAAUUGAUUGGCGGUCACGUCGAGCUUCCAUAGCGUAGUAGUAAAACCCUCGUUACUGGUAAUCGUCGCGGCCACGCCGUUAAACCCCAACUUCUGAAUGUUGACCUCGGAUCAGGUAGGAAUAC
rnacentral:rRNA from 1 species